UAAAAUAAAAAUAUAUAUCCAAAAUGUAUAUAGCAAUGCUCACUUUUAUUAUAUACAGUACAUCCUGGCAUUUUUUAUUGUUUUACUUUUGUUAAAAAAGAAAUAGCGGUCACAUCCUUCCAACCUGAUUUUACAACCCAAGAGUGCACUGCAAACUGCAGUUUGAAAAAUACUGUUCUUGAUAAUUCUCCAAAGCCCAGAAGCCGAGGGUGCUGGUGUACUGCCUACCCUAUGACCUUGCUGAGAACCUCUACAAACCAUCUGCUUUAUAGGCUGAAAAGAACAUUAUCCUGGAAGAAAGGAUCCAAGUCCUCCAGCAGCAAAAUGAAGACCUCAAAGCAAGGAUUGAUCAGAACACAGUUGUCACCAGACAGCUGUCAGAGGAAAACGCUAAUCUCCAGGAAUACGUGGAAAAAGAAACCCAGGAGAAGAAGAGAUUGAGCAGAACCAACGAAGAGCUGCUUUGGAAGCUUCAAACGGGGGACCCAACGAGUCCUAUUAAACUCUCCCCCACCUCCCCAGUUUACCGAGGCUCCUCGUCCGGGCCCUCCUCUCCGGCCAGAGUCAGCACGAUGCCUAGAUGACGUCACCACGCAGUCUGCGGGCGCUCCGGCUUCUGUCCCAUGUCUCGCACUAUGGGCACAAUCUCUGCUCUUAUAUGAGAAAUUAUUUCUGAUUUCAUUUUUUCGAGAUCCUUUUUUGUUGCCAGUUCAGGGAGUCCAGGUGGUUAAGUAUCAGUUUGUUCCAUGUCAUUUCCCUUUGGGGUCGCUUUAGGUGAUGUGGAAGUCUGUUUCUGAGCCUUGUUUAUGUGUCUUCUCAUUUCAAUGG
rnacentral:lncRNA from 1 species